rnacentral:rRNA from 1 species
CGAACGCUGGCGGCGUGCUUAACACAUGCAAGUCGAACGGAAAGGCCCUGCUUUUGUGGGGUGCUCGAGUGGCGAACGGGUGAGUAACACGUGAGUAACCUGCCCUUGACUUUGGGAUAACUUCAGGAAACUGGGGCUAAUACCGGAUAGGAGCUCCUGCUGCAUGGUGGGGGUUGGAAAGUUUCGGCGGUUGGGGAUGGACUCGCGGCUUAUCAGCUUGUUGGUGGGGUAGUGGCUUACCAAGGCUUUGACGGGUAGCCGGCCUGAGAGGGUGACCGGCCACAUUGGGACUGAGAUACGGCCCAGACUCCUACGGGAGGCAGCAGUGGGGAAUAUUGCACAAUGGGCGGAAGCCUGAGGCAGCAACGCCGCGUGCGGGAUGACGGCCUUCGGGUGGUAAACCGCUUUCGCCUGUGACGAAGCGUGAGUGACGGUAAUGGGUAAAGAAGCACCGGCUAACUACGUG